rnacentral:rRNA from 1 species
UACAGAGGUCUCAAGCGUUUGUUCGGAUUCAUUGGGCGUAAAGGGUGCGUAGGUGGCGCGCUAAGUCAGGUGUGAAAUUUCGGAGCUUAACUCCGAAACUGCAUUUGAUACUGGCGUGCUUGAGGACUGGAGAGGAGACUGGAAUUCAUGGUGUAGCAGUGAAAUGCGUAGAGAUCAUGAGGAAGACCAGUGGCGAAGGCGGGUCUCUGGGCCGAUACUGACGCUGAGGAAGCGAAAGCGUGGGGAGCGAACAGG